UAAUACGGAGGGGGCUAGCGUUGUUCGGAAUUACUGGGCGUAAAGCGCGCGUAGGCGGACCUGCAAGUCGGGGGUGAAAGCCCGAGGCUCAACCUCGGAACUGCCUUCGAUACUGCGGGUCUCGAGUCCGGGAGAGGUGAGUGGAAUUCCUAGUGUAGAGGUGAAAUUCGUAGAUAUUAGGAAGAACACCAGUGGCGAAGGCGGCUCACUGGCCCGGUACUGACGCUGAGGCGCGAAAGCGUGGGGAGCAAACAGGAUUAGAUACCCUGGUAGUCCACGCCGUAAACGAUGGAUGCUAGCCGUUGGUGGGUUUACCCUUCAGUGGCGCAGCUAACGCAUUAAGCAUCCCGCCUGGGGAGUACGGUCGCAAGAUUA
rnacentral:rRNA from 1 species